UUUCAGUUGCAUCUUUUCAACAAAGUUGACUCUCUCCCUACAAAGGAAAGUUUGUAUCAGCUACUGAGAAGACUUGGACUGGAACUUACUUCACCAGAUCUCAUGGUUCUUGGGCCUUCAGACUCAGGUUGGAACUAUGCUAUCAGCUUUCCUGGAUCUCCAGCUUGCUGACUACACAAUCUAGGACUUCUCAGCCUUUGUAAUUGUGAGGAACAAAUUGUUCUACAGAAAAUGAAGGAAACUCCAAAUGUUCAAGAGACUGGGGAUGAUAUAUGAAAGCUUUCACCAUUAGGAUAAAAAAGAGCAAGAAUAGCUCACAUACCAUGUGAACCACUUUUGGGAAUCAGAUGUGUACAUUCCAAAGUAAAAUGACUUCAGUGUAUAUAUACAAGGAUGAUAAAUGUCCUGCUGAGAACAGCGGCAAAACAACAAGAAGAACCACCGUAAAGCUCCUGCACAUACUUAUAUACUGAAUAGGACCAUGAAAAAGUGCUUAAGCUCAAACAGGUAGGUAUUAUUUUUUUCAUGCCUUGUAAAAGUAGAUUAGUCAUAUGAGAAAACUUGAAAUAAUUUGCUGUAAUAUUUUAGAUUGUUUGCAAUUUAAAAUUUUUCAGGUAUCCCUGCUUUUCUCCUUUAUGCUGGAUAACUAAAAGUACCUAUCAAUUCACCUGAUUGUAUUUUUCAUUUUAUUUUUUCCUCAGAGGCCUGAUUUCCUUAUAGUUUUUGACCUAUUGAGGUAAUUUGCAUGCUCUUUAGCCAUUGUCUGAGAAACUUGUGCCCAGACAAAUCUUUGUUUUCCUUUUAGGCUCUAUUUAAUAAAGAUUAUGAAGAGGCUUACAGUAGCACUAUUAUUUGAGAUUUCAUUAUGGCUGUUAAUGGUAUUUGAGUACCAGUUUUUUUUCACAUGGUCAUUGAUAAUUGGGGUUUUAGCUAUUUUAUAUUGACAAUCGGAGAUUUUUGAAAAUGGUGCCACCUUGAAGUCUAAUUAAUUAGAGAAUGCUAUAACCAUUGUUAAUGCACAACUCAUUUUUAGUUUAAUUUAAAAUUUGGAGCAUUUCUUUGCUUCCUCAAAUAAUUGUGCUUAUAGUCAGAAGCAUAAUAAGUAGAAAAUAGAUUAACUAUGAAGAAAACUGUAAAUCUCUUCUCAUCACUGUUUGUAUUAUGAACAGUAUAAAAGAAUCAGAUGAGGAAGGGACAUAUUUUUAUGGCAUGGGUCUUGCUGUACAUAGCCUUUACCUGAGCUAGUUUCUUUGGGAUUGGUAUAUAUAAUGUUGCAAGUCUCAAGGCCAAUGCUAAGUGCAGGGAGGGCAAUCCAAGAGGCUGCAAUCCCCAUUUAUCUUACUCUGGGCACUAAAGCUAUUUCUUCCCAUCCAGAUUUUCUUCCAGGAAGCAAUGCCCAGUUGAAAUGGUAAGAUGGUGUGAACAUGGAUCUUUCUAAGGAUCAAAAUGGGAUCUGUUAAAUAUGUAUGUUUAUGGGGUCUGUUAAUAUGUAUUAAGCAUUUCAUAGGUGUUAAGUCUUCAUCAAGACUUAACAAACAAAGUAGAAGAAACAAACACAUAAAGAGGUCCUUAUAUCAUGUGAUAGAUGCCAUGAUAGAGGCAUCGGUUCAGGGUGAUGAGGUAGCACAGAGUGAAGACAUAAAUCAGCCUGGGAAAAUCAAGGAACGCCUCCUGGAGAAGACAAACUGUAAUUUGUCUUUAAAGCUGCUUACUAGCCAGAUGCAAAGUUAGAGGAAGGCAAGUAAGGCAGAGAAAACACACUAUCAAGGAAUGGAAACUAAAAUAAUAAAAACUACAACGAUCUUUACAUUUAUUUUAGGUACUAUUUUAGGUGAUGCAUGAAACCAUUUCAUGUGUCCCACAAACAUAUGAGGCAGCUAUUACUAUCCCAGUUUUAUGUAUGAAGAAAUUGAAGCACAGAAUGUUUAAGUGAAUUACCUAAGGUCACAUAGACAGUAAAUUAUAGAGGACAGAUUUGGAACCCUGCUGUCUGACUCCAGAGUCCAUAUCCUUAACCACCAUACGAUACAGCCCCGUGCUGUGGUUUACUGAUGGGUGUAGUGAACAACAAGUGAGUUGAAAUUACUGGAUAAAAUUCUAGCUUGGAGAAGGCAGAAGGCACAGUUGCAGAGACUGACAAGUGGCAGAUACUGACUUUGUAUGUCAUGCUAAGACGGUUAGAAUAAGACUUCUCAACUAUGUAUAGUGAGGGGACAAUUUACUUUAUUAUUAUCUUUUAAUUUCAAAUAUGAUGUGGAUGGAUAUGUUUAUAAAAUAUAAAAUUACAUACAUGGAUAUCAAGGCAAUUUCAAAUUGCUAGAAAGGAUUCUAAAUGCUUACUUCAUUUCUGUGCUUUGCUAAUCAUUGAUUUAUAACAAACAAUUUUGGGCUAGCGCUUUGAGUAGUAUUGAUUUAUAUUUUUUACUUUGUACCUUGUGGUGUAAUUAAGGUAUAACCAUUCAGAUGGGCAGGUUAGCAUUUUAAGUAUUGAUUUCUUUGUGGAAAAUGAACUAGAGGCUAAGACUGAUUACAGUGAGCCCAAUUAUGAAUCAAUGAUUGUAGUGUCUGCCAAAUAUAACUGGAGCCUAAACUGAGGCUGUGGAGUAGCAAUGAAAAGUGAGAGGUAAAUGGUUUUGAGAAAUCCUUGAGAGCUAUAUCUGGCCUGGGUCCAUGGACAAGAUUCCCUUAUCUUCAACUUCCACUAAAACAGCUCUUUGUGAUUCUUUACUCUGUUUUCCUCUUAAAUUUAAUAUUUUAAAAUGUCUAUCUCAAAAGCUACCAUCUAUGUAUUUCUUAAAUCAAAACCGUAUUUUUCCUUCAAAAUGUAUUAAACAUUUUGUUUAAGCGAAGUUCCUUUUAGGCCCUGGGUUUAAGUGGGAAGAAGGCUGGUGAGGCUGAGGAGUGCAGGAUGAUCUGCAGGGCUAGAAGUGAAGUGUCGUUUCUUUCUUAAACAAGUAUCUUGUGUGGAAACAUGCAGCAAAGCCAAGAGUUAAUGGUUUAAGGAAUGAGCCUUGAGGGAACAGGGGCCAAGGGAAAAUUUUCACUUUGUCCUUCUGAAGGUUUACUGAGAAAUGAACUCAUAAAUGUCAGAUUAACUGGAGAAAAAGCAUUCAAAAUUUAUUAAUGUGUAAACAGGAUCCUUUGGAAUGAAGACCCAAAGAUAUAGAAAAAAUUGUCCAUUUUUAUGCUUAGGUUCAAGAAAGUAUGGAUAGCUGCAUAGAAAUAUGUUUGGAAAAAUAGGGUAUUAUCUAAUGUUAAUAGAUGGAGUAGAGCAAUAUAGCAAGGCCUCUUGGUCUAGAUUUGUCUUGGUUUUUCAGAGCAUGUGUUUCUUCCUUCUGGAUAUGGGACAGGACCCUCUCUGGAAAGGGGGUCAGAUAAUUUUUUAUUGCCAGUUUUUGUACAAAAAGGCAGAAGAAAAGCUGGAGUCAAAUUUUUAGGUUUAUGGCUGGCUUUGAGGAAAAGAGGUUCUGAUUUUUAUCGUGGCUUGUGGAAGAGGGAUUCAAGUUUGUAUGGCCAGCCUUGGAGGAGAAUGGGGCUGAACGACAGGAGGCAGGAGGGUAGGAGAAGGUCAGAGAAAACAUUUUUUUUUUUUUUUUCCUGAGGCUGUUUCUGAGGCCAUUGUUGAAUGUUGUUUUCUGUUUUCCAAACUUCUCUGGCCUAAAACUUCCCCAAUAAAUUUCACAGGCCAGUAAUUGGGUUGGUGGAUUGUUGUAUAAGCCAUUUAAUUGAAGCAGUCUCUUAGUCUUGAGAACAGGGCAGUCAAGUUAAACAGUUAAUAGUUGCAUCUUAUUUCAGGCAAUGGUCUUGUAGAUGGGGUUUUACCAAAGUUGGGUUUCUUUAUGAUUUUAGCAAUCAGACAGAUAUUGAAUAAGAGGCAUUUUUAUGGAAACAAAAGGAAAACAAAAGUUAAUGGUUAGAAAAAAACUAUAAACUUAGGUUUUGAGUGUAAGAGGCAGCCCAUUGAGAAGAUUUUUAGAUGUUAGGCUUGAAGCAUCUUUAGAUGAAGUGAGAGCAGAUAGUAACAAUCUGACAGAUUUUUUUUUUGUCUGUAGUUUAUAUCAGGCAUUCAAGGGAACUUUUGAGUAGUCUACACAUUGUCAGGCUCAAAGGCUGUUUGUAUAUUAAGUUGUUAUUAUGAUUUUUAAAAGAAGUUUUUAUCAAGUUGUCUACCUUUAGCUUAUAGGGCUUUAGGCAAAAGCAGUAUUAAUUUUAGUAAUUUUUAGUCAGAAAGUAGAAAAAAUUUGGAAACAUUAGUUGGGAGGCUUAUAGCCAGGAAAGAAUUUAGGAUUUAGUCUGAAUUGUAGGAAAAUAAUAAAAACUCAAAAACAAUGAUUAAGGCUGGAAUCUAAUAACAGGUAUGUUUUAGUUUAUUUUAAACAAUUUUUUUCUAGUCCCCCAUUUUUACUAAAGAAAAAUCAUAGCAGGACCAGUUUAUUUGUAAAAUAAGUUACAGUUUUACUACACUUGGCCUGAUUAUUUGUAUAAAAUGUAGUAUGAAUAGUGAUUGGCCAUAUAGAUUCUUUUUAAAUUGGUUUUGUUGGAAAAAUUUUACAAGGAAUCUCGGAUUAGACUUUUAAAAGUCUCUCAAGGCUUGGAAGCCAAGCCAGGGAUUUAUGAUCAGGCUGUCUGUAAUACCUGGAUA